rnacentral:rRNA from 1 species
AUUGAACGCUGGCGGCAUGCCUUACACAUGCAAGUCGAACGGCAGCACGGGAGCAAUCCUGGUGGCGAGUGGCGAACGGGUGAGUAAUACAUCGGAACGUGCCCAGUUGUGGGGGAUAGCCCGGCGAAAGCCGGAUUAAUACCGCAUACGACCUACGGGUGAAAGCGGGGGAUCGCAAGACCUCGCGCAAUUGGAGCGGCCGAUGGCAGAUUAGCUAGUUGGUGGGGUAAAAGCCCACCAAGGCGACGAUCUGUAGCUGGUCUGAGAGGACGACCAGCCACACUGGGACUGAGACACGGCCCAGACUCCUACGGGAGGCAGCAGUGGGGAAUUUUGGACAAUGGGCGCAAGCCUGAUCCAGCCAUGCCGCGUGUGGGAAGAAGGCCUUCGGGUUGUAAACCACUUUUGGCAGGGAAGAAACGGUCUGAUCUAAUAAAUCGGACUAAUGACGGUACCUGAAGAAUAAGCACCGGCUAACUACGUGCCAGCAGCCGCCGUAACAC